GCGGGAGUAGCUCAGUGGUAGAGCGUCAGCCUUCCAAGCUGAGGGCCGCGGGUUCGACCCCCGUCUCCCGCUCCA
rnacentral:tRNA from 1 species